GAAGAAUCAUAAGGCGAUAAGAACAGAUUCCAUGCUCCAGUCACUGUGCCAGUUGCUGCAUUUGGGAAAUAGACAAGACUAGCCGCUAAGCAUAUAAGUGAGAAAAAUCAAAGGAUAACCCUUAAAGUGACUGAUUUCCCACUCACCACUGCCAAGCAACCCUCGAAGUAGUCAGAAAUGAGGCUACCAGAGAAAAAGAGCCAAAGACAUAAAGUUAUACAUCUACUUGAAUGUAAACAGAAAAUUGAAAGUUAGUCUGCAUUCCCUGGUCACAUCCUACCCAACAAAGCAGUUUCACUGCAGCAUAGAAUCCCCUGGUGCAUAAUUGAGACCUAACUUCAGACUUCUAAACAGGGUAAUGUCAACUCCCUCCUCCAGCUGUUCCAGGCAGUUAUCUUUACCAGCUGUUUACCAUCGUCAACAAUGACAUACUUCUGCAUGUCUGAAAUAUGUGAAACUUCAAAACGGCCCUUUCAUGUUUCUACCCAAGAUUAUCCCUUAACUCCAAGAGAAGAGUGACACAAUCAGUCUUUGUCACCAUCAUAUGCCUGGCUCCUAGAAGACUGAAAGAUGAUAAUGAGUAUCUGUUGAAUGAAUGCCUGUAACCCUGAAGGUCACCAUUAAAGGACAACAGACAACUUGUCCUCAAACAUAAGGAAGUGCAACUAAAGAGACUAUCAAAAAAAAAAAAAAAGAAACCUCAGCCCUUUCACCCUCCCUUUCAACCCAAAGUCAGCAAAUACAGUGUUCAUUAAGUUGUGAGUGAAAUUUCAAAAUUGUCAGCAACAAAAAUAUUUUGUGUACCUACCACAUUAAAACACACUUCUAGGUGCCAGGGGAAAUAAAACUUCUAUAUGUUAAAGUUCUGACUCCUCAGAAGCUCACAGUACAGACAUAAAAUUCCAAUACAAAGCAGGCUUUGCAAAUAAUGGAAUGGAAACACAAAGUUUUG
rnacentral:lncRNA from 1 species